GAAUUUGAAUCACAAUGUCAAAUAGGUUGUUAAUUAACGUAGCAAGACAUGUGAUCAGUAAAAUAGUGUACCUAACUAACUAUUGAUGUACAUCAAACAUUUUACCUACAGAAAGAAGACGUGGAAGCUACACUGGAUUAAUAAUUUCACUUGUUUGUCCCUUUGCCAAGGAAAUUUGCUUCUUGAGGUUGAGGACCUCUUUCGCGUACACAGCCAACUUGUCCUUGAGUUUUCUUGUAGCCUCUUUGUACUCUCUGUUCAUAACAUCUGACUCAUCUAAUGCUUCCUUGUAUCUAUAGCGAAUAGCAUCCAGGCUUGCCUGUGUUCCUCGAAGCCUCAUUCGAAGUUUUGCAAUGUCCUUGCUGCUGUUGAUUUCAUCCUCUUGAGACUGUUUGCUCUGAGCAUCAACUCUUUUCAAGUCAUCUUUUAGUUGAUCAAUCUCUAGUGACUUCUCCAUGCUGCAUUUCAUCUCCCACUUAGCAUUCUCCUCAGAGCUUGUCAAUCUUUCUUUCAGGACUUCGCAUUCUUCCCUACACAUCUCUAACUCACUUUGUGCCUCUAACAAUGCUUUAGACAAUGAUGUAAUAUCCAUAUUGUAUAAAUUUGUCUUCUCUUCUAUGGUUUCAAUAGAAGCUUUCUCCUUGGCAGACCAUAUUGCUUUUUCCUCCUCCAUUUCCAAGAGGGAAUCAGUAAGUUGCAUUGCUAACUCUUCCUUUUCUUGUACCAACAUUUUGAUUGAACUUUCCAUUGUUUGCUGGUUGAGUGUAGAUUCUUCCAACUUUUGUCUCAAGGCAGAAACCUCUUCCUGCAACACAUUCAAUUCAGCAUUGGAAAUCUUCAACUUUUCUGACAGGUUUUCCAACUCUGAAGUCAAACUGUCAUUUCUAAAUGUAGCCUCUUCCUUUUCCCGGUGUGCAUCUGCAACUUCCUCUUCCAAAGAAGCAAUAGUUGCUUCCAUUUCAAAUGCAAGAACUUCCAGCUUCCUGUAAUCUUCCUGCAUUGUGAGUUCUAGUGAAGGUGCAAGAUCCUUUGACUUCUUUGGAUCAAACACCUUUGAGCUCCUGUCAACAACUGAAUCACGCCUUCUAACGGCAAGUGACUCACGUUUACUAAUGUCACGCUCAAGACGUGUAUUUUGACCAUUCAAUCGCUUUACCUCCUUUUCUGCAAAUGCUUUCUCACCCUAAAAAUGUGAAAUAGGCAAUUGAUAGAUCAUUUAAAUUGGAUAGGAAAAUGCAUACUGGAAAAUUAGUGCAUUUCAUACAAAACCUCAAGUUUAGUUUUCUCCUGAAUGAUAUUCUUGAGCUUGAACUCUGUCUCUUUUAAUUUGACUUUUGUUUUCUCAAGAUCUUUUCUCAAGUUAUCCUUUUCCUUAGCCAAGGAACACGAUGACAAGUAUGAUAUUUCCUUCUCAAGACUAUGAAUUUGAGAGAGCAAUUCUUCUUUUUCCAGUUCCUGUUGCUUGGAAAUUGAUCUCAAGGACUCUUCAUAGUUUUGAGCAUCAUGUCUCAGUUCUAGUGUCUGUUUCUGGAGCUCAAUAGAUUGAUUGUACAAAAGAAGCUUCUCACUCUCGACUUCAGCAACUUUCUGGCACAUGUGACAAUGUAAUGUCUCAUGAUUACGGAUGAUCAAUUUUUGCUUCUGAGAGCUCUCAAACAUCAAAGCCUUGAAAUCAUUGAACACAUUAAAUAUGGUGGAUAAACUCUGGAAAGCCUCAUCCAAAAGUGAGGAAACACUCUCAACAACUUUUCUAGAGUUCUGAACUUCAGACACUAUGUCUUGGAUCUCCAUUGAAAGCUUUAUCUCAGAGUCAAAAGUCCCCUCCGAAAAACAGUAGAAAUCAGUUUUCUUAGAUUGGACCAACAAGUAUAUAAAUGACAAACGAUUUAUAGAUGAUGAUGAUGAUGGAACAUGUAAAGAGCAAGGGCUAAGUGAGAAUCCUCACAAAGAUUGACAGAAAAGCAGAAUGACACAUACAUUAAUUAUUCUUGCAGAUUCCUUCAAAGCAAGCUGUUCACGAGUGACCCUGGCCUCCUCCCGAGCACUUUUGAGUUCUUCAUGUAGCUCUUCAAGCUUCUCCCUGGCACAUAUACUUUGCUCUGUUGCUAGCUCAACAACACUAUCAAGAUUUUGCUGACUUGAGCACUUAUCCAUUUCUAAGGUCUUGAUCUUUUGUUGAAGUUGUUUGAUCACAUGAAUUGCCUCUAACUCCCUUAAACUUACAUUUUUGUCCACAUAAUUGGAACUUCUAUAGCAAUGACUAGCAGAACAAUCAUUAUAUUUAUCAGAGGGAUACAAUUCAGCAUCAGUCAGUUGUCUUGUCAAGCAAUCAAUCUGUAUGUCAGUCAAUGUUCUCUGAGUUUCAAAUUUUAGAAGCAAUUCCUCAUAUUCCGCUUGCAUUUCUACCAAUUCAUGGUCCUCAAGGGAGCUUUUCUUUCUCGAUGGCACCUUCCUCCUAUUUGUGACAUGCAAUAAAGUGCAUGGAUCAGGAAGAGUACAAUCUCCGGGUGCAUUGUUGCUACAAUCUUCCUCUUGCUGGUGGAUGUCACCCUCAACUUCAGUUUCAGUCACCAAUUCAUCAAAAGGAAUGAGUGGUCCCAUAUCACGACUACCUCUCAUGGGUUUUAUGGAAGAAGCUCUUGAUUGGAUAUCAAUAUCCAUCAUCUCUUGAACAGUCUGCCUUGAAAGUUCACCUGGGCACCAUGUAUCCCGUCUUUUCCCCUUUUUUUGUUGAUCACGAUAUUCAUCCCUGUUGGAGUGCAACACCAUUGAGCUCAAGUUUUUAAUUUUCUUGGCCUGCUCUUGCAAAACCUUCUCACGUUCGGCUUGGGCUCUCUUUUCCUCCUCCAACUCCAAAGUUAUUCGUUCCCUCUCCAAUUCAGACUGUAAUAAUGUGUUCCGGAGGUUGAGAAUUUCCUCUUCCAAAUGUUCUGAAUGAGAACCCUGCAAUUUUGCACGAAGCUCCUCAAUUUCUUUCUUUUGACGCUUUAACAAGGCAGCAUCUGUCAAAAUCUCAUUCACAUGAGCACAAUUUGUGACACGUAAUGCUCUACUUGCAAAUUGAAGACUGCUUUUUGUCUCAUCUGCAUGAAUCUGUGCAAGUGUAAUAUUGCAUAUUAUAGCUGUAUUUGCAUUUCCACCUAGUGCAGGUUGCAAAAUUCGUGUGAGCUUACUAUCUCGGUAUGGAACAUGCCCCCCUUGGCUUUCAGCUCCUUCACUCAAUUUUUUAAUCACAGUUCCAAGCGUCAUUAGGCUUUUAUUAAUAUGGGAACCCUCUUUGAGCCGUACACCUUCUGCACCAGUUUUUGCAGCACGUUCUGAACCAGCAAGGUCCACCAAAUUCAAAACUGAUACACGGACAGCAUCACAGGAGCUGCCAAUAUCCUCAUCCUCAGUUCUAUCCCGACUCUCAAUUAUCAUGCGGAAAAUAGUGUGGGACCUACUACUGUACACAUUCAUAUUUGUCUCUCCAAUAUGCCUAUGAGAUUCUCCAAACUGCAUCAGAUCAAGAACUUGCUGGGAAAAGGCAACAAUUUCUUCCCGCAAACCAGCAACGUAUAUUCCUCGCUCCAGAUUUUCAUGAAUUUGAAGCUUUCGGUGUUCAGGAGCCAAUAAAUCAUUGAUAUCCUCAUUAUAGAUCUCCAUGUAUGACAUUCGUACAAGAAACUCUCGAUCAGUAUCCUUUUGUAUGAUGUCAAACAAAUCAUGAACUGCCAGAGGGAUGACACCAGGUUCACUGGCUGAGCCUCGCAUUGUAUGUGUCUUUCCGCUGUUAGUUUGUCCAUAUGCAAAUACAGUGCCAUUGAACCCGCGAACAGCUGCAGCAACAAUUUCUUUUGUACGAGCUUUGUACACCUCUUCCGUCUUACAAUCUUCUCCAAAAAUCCGAUCGAAUUCGAACUUGGAGGAAAGGUUGGGGAUGAAAACGGUGUUGCCGGAGAUUCUCCACGGGCUUGUCUUCGAAUCCUCCGCUGAGAGUGGCCGAGCCCUGACACUUACGUGUAUUCUCUCCAUUUUGACGCUGGGAAGAGGUGGACGGAGAAGGAGAAUGAGAGACGCUCCACAGUAGUGGCGGAAUCAGAAACAGAAAGGCCUACCCUUGUAUUAUU
rnacentral:misc_RNA from 1 species